GAUGAACGCUAGCUACAGGCUUAACACAUGCAAGUCGAGGGGAAACGACAUCGAAAGCUUGCUUUUGAUGGGCGUCGACCGGCGCACGGGUGAGUAACGCGUAUCAAACCUGCCCAUCACUUGGGAAUAACCUUGCGAAAGUAAGACUAAUACCCAAUGACAUCCCACGAAGACAUCUGAAUGGGAUUAAAGUUUUAUCGGUGAUGGAUGGGGAUGCGUCUGAUUAGCUUGUUGGCGGGGUAACGGCCCACCAAGGCAACGAUCAGUAGGGGUUCUGAGAGGAAGGUCCCCCACAUUGGAACUGAGACACAGUCCAAACUCCUACGGGAGGCAGCAGUGAGGUAUAUUAGUCGAUGAGCGAGAGCCUGAACCAGCCAAGUAGCGUGCAGGAUGACGGCCCUAUGAGUUGUAUACUGCUUUUAUAAGGGAAUAAAGUGGGUCUCUUGAGACUUUUUGCAUGUACCUUAUGAAUAAGGACCGGCUAAUUCCGUG
rnacentral:rRNA from 1 species